rnacentral:lncRNA from 1 species
CUUAAGUAAAUAUAUUUCAAUAUACAAAUAUAAAAUUUUAAAGUAAAAAUGAAUAUGUAUGAGAUUUAUAUGGAUAUGUGGAAGAAGACACAAUGUAUAGUCAUCACCAAGAUUGGAGGCUGUCCACCUGAGGCAGGGCACCUGCUGCUCUGUUGUCCUGUUGGCAUCUUCUGAAGUAUGACCAGAGUGAAGAGUCAUUAUCAAAGGUGGUCAUCCGUUGACAAAAUAGAGACAUAAGAACAUUUGCAGGAUGGCCUAGAUUUCCUUACGGCAUCGAGGACGAGAUCCAAGACAGCAAAAGCAGACUCUGCCAAGCCUCUUAAUGGCAAGGCCCUGAAGCAGCAGAGCUUCACUUCUGCCACCUCCUAUUGGUUAAAGCCUGUCACAAAGCCUGUCGAGAUUCAGAAAAAGAGAGAUAGAACCCACCUCCUGAUAGAAAAAAGCUGCACAUGCAUAAAGAAAGGAGAGGAUUUGACAGCUAUCUUUGAAGAGUAUCUGCCCCAUUAAGCCAUGGGAUAUUUUCCCCAUAAAAGAAAGGACUAUGAUCUGGAUUGUAGAAA